rnacentral:rRNA from 1 species
CCAGCUUGCUGGGCGGAUUAGUGGCGAACGGGUGAGUAAUACGUGAGUAACCUGCCCUUGACUCUGGGAUAAGCCUGGGAAACUGGGUCUAAUACUGGAUACUACCUCUUACCGCAUGGUGGGUGGUGGAAAGGGUUUUACUGGUUUUGGAUGGGCUCACGGCCUAUCAGCUUGUUGGUGGGGUAAUGGCUCACCAAGGCGACGACGGGUAGCCGGCCUGAGAGGGUGACCGGCCACACUGGGACUGAGACACGGCCCAGACUCCUACGGGAGGCAGCAGUGGGGAAUAUUGCACAAUGGGCGGAAGCCUGAUGCAGCGACGCCGCGUGAGGGAUGACGGCCUUCGGGUUGUAAACCUCUUUCAGUAGGGAAGAAGCGAGAGUGACGGUACCUGCAGAAGAAGCGCCGGCUAACUACGUGCCAGCAGCCGCGGUAAUACGUAGGGCGCAAGCGUUGUCCGGAAUUAUUGGGCGUAAAGAGCUCGUAGGCGGUUUGUCGCGUCUGCUGUGAAAGCCCGGGGCUCAACCCCGGGUCUGCAGUGGGUACGGGCAGACUAGAGUGCAGUAGGGGAGACUGGAAUUCCUGGUGUAGCGGUGAAAUGCGCAGAUAUCAGGAGGAACACCGAUGGCGAAGGCAGGUCUCUGGGCUGUUACUGACGCUGAGGAGCGAAAGCAUGGGGAGCGAACAGGAUUAGAUACCCUGGUAGUCCAUGCCGUAAACGUUGGGCACUAGGUGUGGGGGACAUUCCACGUUUUCCGCGCCGUAGCUAACGCAUUAAGUGCCCCGCCUGGGGAGUACGGCCGCAAGGCUAAAACUCAAAGGAAUUGACGGGGGCCCGCACAAGCGGCGGAGCAUGCGGAUUAAUUCGAUGCAACGCGAAGAACCUUACCAAGGCUUGACAUUCACCGGACCGCCCCAGAGAUGGGGUUUCCCUUCGGGGCUGGUGGACAGGUGGUGCAUGGUUGUCGUCAGCUCGUGUCGUGAGAUGUUGGGUUAAGUCCCGCAACGAGCGCAACCCUCGUUCUAUGUUGCCAGCACGUGAUGGUGGGGACUCAUAGGAGACUGCCGGGGUCAACUCGGAGGAAGGUGGGGAUGACGUCAAAUCAUCAUGCCCCUUAUGUCUUGGGCUUCACGCAUGCUACAAUGGCCGGUACAAAGGGUUGCGAUACUGUGAGGUGGAGCUAAUCCCAAAAAGCCGGUCUCAGUUCGGAUUGAGGUCUGCAACUCGACCUCAUGAAGUCGGAGUCGCUAGUAAUCGCAGAUCAGCAACGCUGCGGUGAAUACGUUCCCGGGCC